CCGUCCCCCUCCCUAAUGUGAGCGCCGGUUAAUGGCGAGGAGGAGGCAAAGACCACAUUCAAAUAAAACCAACACAAGCCUGCGUGAUAUCUAUUCUUCGCUUGUGGGGUCAUUUCCUGUUAUAAUUGAUUUUGUGAUGUUUUUAUGGAUUGAACCGUUGACUUGACCUUUAAAAGAGAGACAUCUUCGGCUCUGAGUUAUUAGUAUUUGAGCUGCUCUAUUUAUAUUUUAAACUCUGCAUGUCAACAAUGCCCCCCCCCCCCAACACACACAUUAAACUGCAGAAAUAGUCUUUGAUUUGCAGCAGGAAGCGACAGGCUUUGUGGUUUGGGCAGCAGCUACCUGCACCUCCGCCUCCUCCCGUUUGGUUCCCUUUCUCCUCGGGGGGGUGAGCGGUGGUUUGUGGAAUAAUCUGUAAGACACAAAUUAGUCGUCUGAGCUGUCGGCUGUCAGAGAGGCGGCUCUGGGAAAAAGAUUUGAAAGAUGAUUUGAAUAUUUCUCCCUCUCCUCCCCGCGUGUCACAUUUGAUUUGACAGACCUUAAUGGCCGCCGACGCCGCGAUUCAACCAGCGGCGGGAUGCAAACGUCCUCUGGUGCCCUCUUCUUCUCUCUGUUCCUUUCCAUCAGAUGAAAAGGGAUCAAGAACUUUGCCUUGUUAAUGUUUCCCUCUCUGCCUUUUUGGAGGAGCUUCAGCGUCAGACGCUGUGAAGGAAGAGGAUGCAAAGUGUGUGUCUGUGUGUGUGUGUGUGGGUCCAUAUCCAUCAUCACCACUUGUGGAGCAACCUCUUCCUCGCCCCCAUUUUUAAUCUGUGAGCGUUGCUCAUAAUUAAUGCAGCAGCUCUGUAGAUCCACAGGUAGCAGCUGCAGACACACACACACACACACACACACACACACACACACACACACACACACACACACACACACACACACACACACACACACACACACACACACACACACAAGGUCUUCUGUCUUUUACAACGUUGCCCUUCAUUAGAAAUGUGCAUAAGUGUUACAAAGGUCAUGUGAGUCAUAAUGAAUCUUUAUUUUAAUGCAGCUUUGUUUGUGUUUUUCCUUCUAAAGUUUCUCUUUUUGUUUCUUUCAGAUUUGCUAGUUAGCUUUAGCAAAAGUUAGCUUCAGGAUAGCUGCAUGGAGGGGCAGCAGAGGUGUCUGACACAUGUCCUGGUUUAUUACUUGAAGAGCCAUUGUGUAGAAACCAGGAGCCAAGAAGAGACCAGAAGAGUCCAUAAGAGACCAGAAGAGACCAGAGGAGACAAGAAAGGACCAGAGGAGACCAGAAGGGACCAGAAGAGACAAGAAGAGACCAGAAGGGACCAGAAGAGACCAGAGAAGACCAGAAGGGACCAGAAGAGACCAGAAGCAGGGCUCUUGAGUGUCACGUCUUUCAGUCUCUUGUCACGCCCUGCCGCUAUACAUCCAGUUCCUCACGCCAAGAAAUCGGACAACCGAGCCGUGUUGUUUACCCCCGACGACAAAAUGUCACUCCGAGUUUUCUUAAAAACUUGAGAGCCCUGCAGAAGAGACCAGACGAGACCAGAGGAGACGAGGGUCAGAGGUUUCAUGUCUUCUGGUUCUGCUGGGAGUCUCCGUGUCCUCCUGCGUCACAGGAGGUCAGGCUGAAGCGUCUCCUGGCUCAGUCCGAAGCUGGGGGGUCAAACACAUCUCAUUAGUUCCUCCCUUCUAGUCCCUCCUAGUUUGUGCAGAUGCAUUGUGGUUGUGGGCAGUGGGGCACGUGGGGGGGGCAGAGAGGGUUUCAGAGCACUAAUCUGGUUUGGAAGUCACGGCUGGUCCAUACACUGCACUUCCUGCUGUAAUUGGGGGCUAAUGGGGAGAGGUCUGUGUAGUUCUGCCUCCAUUAGCUGCUCCGCCUGCCCUAAUUGCCCAGCCGAGCCUGAACAAUUCUGUUAGUCGUUGCCCGGAUAAUUAUGGCUGCUUUGGCUAAAAAUAACAGCCGCGCCGAAUCCACGGUGAGGCAGCGCCGUUUUUCUCUUCGUCUCCACAUCCGAUCGCCGCUGUAAACACAACGUGAACGGAGGCCGGAGGAAGGAAUCCAACUGGCGGACUCGUCUCUCCUGCCACGAAAAGGAAGAAACCAAAGCAAAGAAUAAAGACGGCGCGGGUUGAAUAUUAAAUAUUAAAUCUGCUUGUGAGAAACACUUUACGGACACUAAGAGACACAACUAUGACAUCAUAGGAGCUCUGACGGGUCCCCUGGUUGGGUCCCAGUGCCCCCACUUCCCCCCUCUGUCCUCGGAGUUUCACACUCGUGUCACUGGGAGUUAUUUUAAACGAAGAUGCGUUUCAAUCCGCCCCCCCACUAGAUUUACCCCCCGUUCCCCCCGCAGCCUUUCUGCUGGCCUGGCACUUGUGUUUAUGUCGUGCGUUGAUUGUUGAUUCAUAUUUUGACAGCGUUCAUCUGCGUAUUUUGCUGAUGUGUGUGUUUUUUAUUUGUGCGUCUGUGCAGGCUGCCGUGUGAGUGUGCGAUUGUGUGCGUGCGCUCUGCUAACACAGGAUAUUGACUUGUUGUAAAGCCGCGGCCCUUGAGAGUAUUUAUGAGCGCAGCACGGCGGCCUUUCCUCUCUGGCUGCUUUUCCCAGAGUUCAUAGCAUCUCCUCCUCUCUCCAUCCAUCCAGAGCUAUCUGACAAAUCCACACGGAGGCUUAUUGAUGACAAAAGCAUUGAGCGCGCACCGAGGCGAGCUGUAAUCGAUCGGGAAGUGAGCGCCACAUGGACGUGAUGUUUCCCGUUUCCUCCAGACGACACCACAAGACCGAUGUGACGGAUAUGAAGCGCUGAGAGUCGAGCUUCUUGGGUUAAUGACUUCAAGACAAAAGGAAACAAGUAGCAAAGACAGUUUGUUGACGCCGGCGCCGUCUGACCUCCCGUCUCCGUGAGGAGCACCUGUGAGGUGAGAAGGUCGUGCUGGAUUCCUCACAGCAGAUCAACGGCUGCAUAGUAACACGCAAGCAUCUUUGUGUCUGUGUCUCGUUUCAGAAGAAUACUGCUGAAGCUGAGCCCUGACUUCAUGCCUCCACUGACCUGAGGAACAAAUGAUCUGGUGAGAGCAGCCAGCUGGCUCAUGGUGUGCGUUAAUGUUUCUGAGAGGUUCCCUCUCGUCUGCUGUGUUUCGCUGCUCGUGGUGACGACAGACGGCGUCAUCGACACUCGUCUGCAUUCCAUUCUUCAAAUGUGCGUCAUGGCGAUUCGUGUCACAUGGGUUCAGGUACCUGCUGCCGUGGCAUCUUCAGGUCGAGAGAUUCGUUCACGUUGAUUGACAGGACUCAAAUAUUGUCUUAUGAUUGGUUGAAACAAAAACUGAAGAUAACAAGUCGGGGUGGGAAUCUCUUGGCACCUCACGAUUCAAUUCGAUUCCGAUUCCGAGGUCAACGAUUCGACUCUAAACAGAUUAUCGAUUCUAAACUGAUAAAACGAUGAUCGAUGCAUCUCGAUUUUCAAAAAUUUUCAGACUGACGGACCGGUCUGCGAGCUGGACGCGUUGCUCUUAAUGCGCCGGUAAUGAUGAUAAAUGAUGGUUGUGGCUUGACGCGUUUGUUUUUUCACAACGUUUUAUCUCAUAAUUUCGACUUUCUAUCCCAUUUCUUUAGUGCGGAAAUGAGCUUCUAUAGUUGUGUGAACGCAUCACUCCAGCCAAUCCAAAGACGGGGUUUGUAACCAAUCAGGUGUAGAGACCAUGGUGACUGGCUCCGCCCCCUUACUGUCAAAAAGAACAACACCUUCGAGCCGAGCAGAGAAGUUCACGCUCCGAGAGCGAGCAAAUAUCUCGUGAGAGACAGACUUUUAUUUAAAAAUUCCGAUUAUUAACUUUGAGACCAAAUCGUUGUAGAGAAAUUGAAAAAUCUCCCCCCCCCCUAAUAACAAGAAUCCUCAUUUAGAAGCAUGAAAACUAUAAAACUUCAGUUGACAAACUCUCCUGAACGAGUCUCAUUAAUUCAGUCGCAUCAUCUUCUUCUUCACCAUGAGUUCAAACGUCUGAGGCCGAUCCAUGGAGGAGCUUCUCCGGGGGGGUCUUUUGAUGAGAACACAUGCAGAUAUUUAACAGUCAUUGUGAGGACGGUGACAUUUAGGAGCGAGCCGCCGCUAAUUGAGCUCUGUCGUACCUGAAGAUUCAUGGAGGAUUCCUCCGCUCUGCAAGGACGCUCUGCUGGAGAGGAGAAGGCUUUCAACCCCCCAACACACACACACUGAAGUGAAGGUUGUUCUUUUUAAUCAGCUAUACAAAUAAUCACAGUCUGAGAAUACGAAAUGAACUGGAAUCAUUUGAAAAGAAAAACACUGGCAGCUUUUCAUCCUCGAUAAGAAACAAAAAUACUUUUCUCUGCUUCAGAACGUCACAGUUCACAUCUGGGCUCCACUUCCUUCUCAUUACUGCUCCAAGGACGCAGUGAGAAACAGCCAAGGAGGAGAUAACAGCUAGCAGGUUAGCCGUUAGCAAAGGGAGGGUGCUGUUAUGACUGGUUCCAUUUCAGUUUGUAGUAAACUAUGUAACAGGUUACUGGUUAGAACAUGUGGCUGGUCAGCUGGGGAGCAGAUGUGAUGGAUCCACGGCAGCAACAUGGAAGCAAAUGUCAGGAAGGUGUGCUGGGGAAAAAGGCAGGGAUGACAGGACAAGACAGGAAGUGACGUUACCCAGGGAGACAAGAGGUAAGAAAUUACAAAAUAAAACCGUGACAGUGACAGCAAAGUCGUUGAGUUUCUUCUAAAAAGACGAAACCCAACGAACGAAUGAGACUAAAUCGAAGAGAUGAGGCAGUAAAACCCGACUCCUUCAGGCUCAGCUGGGAACCAUUACGUUCCAGUGGGUUACAGAAAUGUGCUUUCCCAGGUUUCAUGGCCCCGCCCACAGGAAGUGUUGAGGAACGUUACAAUCCGCCGCUGGAGGUUUUGAGGCGAAGAAGGAAAUCGAGCGGAGACGAAGUGGGAGAAGCUUUCUGCUGCAGAGUCCCGGUUUGGUCCCGCUUGGUGUUUCUGACAUGACCAGUUAUGUAACAAUGUUUCAGGCUUAAUGUGCACAUAGAAUGAAGCAAUGAAUAUUUCAUUCAGGCCAAAUUCAGACUUCAUGCUUUCACCACAUCUCGCCCCUCAUGGGUCACAUGUUCUCACAAUCAUCUAAAAAUACUGCAAAACACGUUGGAGAAGAGCCGGAGCAACGAUCAGAGUUCAGUGAAGUUACAAUCCGUUCAAAUCACCUUGUGAAGGUGUUGGGAACCCUGGUUCCUCCUCUGGAAUGAAGAGGAAGGUCUGUGAGGAACACUGUCCCUCAGCCUUUCCUUGACUCCUUUCCUUCCUUAACGCAAACGCCUGUCAGAUUAAAGGUUCCAGGCUUCACAUUUGGUAUUCUUGUAUUCUACUGCCAGAUCUUAACAUGUAAUUCAGUACUUUCCCACCGGGCUUCCCCCUUUCUGUUCACUAAUUAGUCUGAUUUCUUCAUCCGUCUCUGACUGAAGUGAAUAAAACUCUAAACUGCCAACUAGGAUUCCAUCGAUUGAGUCCUGUUAAAGUCGACAACACUUUACAUCCAAUUUACUUCAGUUUGAAGAGCGAGUUAUCAUGAGACUGAGAAUACAUUUCUCCACCCGAACAGGAUAAUUAGGAUGCUCGUGUGUGUGAGAGAUCAUUGGAAUCUGCUGCUGCAGCAUCGAUUACUUCUUCUAUUGAUGAAACUAAUCAGUUGGAGCUGGUUCUUCAUUUGUUAAUAUCAGAGGACCUUUAUCGGCUGCAUUAUCAGCUCCACCUGGCCGAUGCCGCCGUCUCAUUGGCUGGCCAUAACCCCGCCCCCAGCUGAAAUGAAUAAGGAAAGAGGAAGAAGACAGUGAGGAGGACGUUUGAAGGGUGCAUGUGGACGAGGAGGUGGAGGCUGCGAACUUUGAGAAGCACUAUGAAGGAACUCGUGGGGCAAAUCGGUAACUAUGACGACCUUCGUCAUCCGAUGCGUUUAUUCACCUUCACUUGCUUCUUCUCCUCUUAACGUUUAACAGGGUUUUGGUGGUUAAUGUGCAGUAGAAGAAUUGAGCCUCUCUCCUGUUCUGUUUCUCACCUCCCACCUUGCCCGUCUUCUUGCCUCACACUCUUCAUCCUCUCCUCCUCUUCCUCCUCCCUGUCUGCUGUGAAGCCCCAGAGACGCGCCGGUCCCGCCGGGACGCCGGGAAUGAAUAUUAAAGUCCAGUCUCCUCAAGUCAAACUACCGAUUCAGGGGACCGUUUUGUCUGCAGCAGCCUAUGAAAAUAUAAAAGAAAUACUGGAAACUCCUGAUGUUCGUUUUCGUUUAAAUGAAAUAGUGACUCUCAGUUAAUCCCUGUGAAGCAGACAUGGCUUCACAGGAAGUGAAUGACGAGAGCGAUCGAAGAUGUAUGAAAUGUAAAAAUAGAAAUGCAUACGAGUGCGUUGUUUAAUCGUACAUGUGAGUAUCAGUAGGAGAAAAACAUCUGUGUGCAACAAAGAGCUUUUCAGGGCGCUUCAUUCACGGCCCAGAAGAGGACGGCCGGUACAAACCCCUGAUGGAGGAUGAUUGGUGAUGAUUAAUCCAGUUAAGUUGCCGCCUUAAACCCCCCCCCCCCAAAAAAAGAAAAUCAGCCCCCUAGUACCUAAUACCUCCUGAUUGAAGGGUGGAGGCCUUCAGCCGACAAAAGGGGAGACGGAGAGUAAUUAAGGUUUCAGUUCUCCAAACCCAAACUUCCCGAGAGGCGCCGGCACUCUGAACAGAACGGAGGAGAGAUAGCAUUGAAGUGGCUAAAGAUUAGCGAGCGCUACGGACGCACCGCCAGGGACUCGGUCCAGUUGGGGCUUGCCGGCUGUCUGCGCCUCCUCCUGCAGCAGCUUUCCUGUCACAGUCUGACAGCCGCUUGGCAGCCGUCGUCUUCACUCUGGAGCUUUUUGGCCCACGAUGCACCUGGAUAACUUCCAUUCAGCCUCAACUUUAACCCUCUGAGGGCUGGAGGGGGGCGGACUGUGACAUUCCCGCUGACCACCUCUUCCACAAUCCGGGCUCCUUAGCUUCCAUCCUUUAUGCUAAGCUACGCUAACGACGUCCUGAUUAGACAGCUUCUCUCACCUGACUGGUACGUGGCUGCGUACUUAAGCCUCCCAUGCGUUAUGAGGCGCGUAAUUCUGGGAAAUAUGACAAAUGUGUAUGUUGUCAAUUCGAUCGCGGAGCCACGCCCCUCUCAGCACAUCCAGAUGUGCCAGAUGUUGCGAAUGAAAGGAAACGAUCGUAAUGGGGGGGGGGGGGACGUAAGCCAAUACAACAAAUGCAUCUUUAAAUAGAGGAAGUCUUUAUCUCAUGGAGGUCUUCAGGACCGCUUUGGGGCUCCGAGCUCCCUCUGAUGAACGGCUCGCUGGGGACCACAAGCCGUCGGCCCGUCCAUUUGUUCAGCAGACGGGCUUUUUUGUAAAGCUUCCUUCACGUCUGCUGUGGUUAGUUCCAGAGAUCGGUCCUUCUCUCUGACAUUUGCACAAAUGCUAAAGGGCCGCGCUGUUUGCUUUCCUCCGUCAUGAAGGACGAGCGAGUUCUGGCUCGGUGGCAGAGAGCUGGAAAUAUGAAUUCAGCCGGUUUCCCCUCCGCAUCCAGCCGGCCCGGGGAUGAAAUCCAUCCCUCUGUGAUGAGACAAUGAUUUGCUGAGCUCCAUUGUGGCUGCAGAGAGGCAGCAGAAGGGGAAAUUUGCAUGUAAAUGCACGACGAAAUGAUUCUGCAGCAGCAGCGAGGCGGCCUGGCGCUUCUUUUACCUCCUGAUGCAUUUGUCCCGAUGCCACAAGCACACACACACACACACAAAAGACAUUUACAUUUUAGAUUUAUAUUCCACCUCAGGUGACGCCCACAGUCCUCCGACCGAACCCCAGCAGGACGGACUGGAUGCUGAUGAUGGAUGCUGGCUCCGUGUCGUGUUGCAUGUAAAGGUUCGUUUUGAAUAGAAUAUUGACACGUGAUGCUGGAAUCUUGUAGGAAAACGCGUGCAAAAUGGGGAGUAACUAAGAAAUCGUGUUAAUCCUCGUCUUUCAAACGGUAUUGUUCACAGUCUGAGGAGCUUCAGAGGUACGAAACCCCAAAGACAACUUCAGCUGGAGGACCCGAAAAGGUUGUGCUUGAAAGACGUGUGGCACCACCCUCCUCCUCCUCCUCCUCCUCCCUUUGUCAGCCUCCAGCAGGAGUAGACGGCGCGCUCACCUCUCCGAGCCGCCGAGAAGGUCACAGUUUGACGGGCCUCCUUUAAAGCCCCCGUGUCAACGUUUAAUUACACACACCGAGCCCAGCGGCUCCAUCAAGGACAGCUCCGUGAUAAUCAAUGCUCUCAGCCAGUCGCACCCGGCUCGGGGGUCGCUCCGCUAUUAACGGGGGAGCAGAGGAGCACAGCGGGGGGCGGAAACGUGGUGGAGCUCGAGAGGAGGGUAAAGAAGACAGGGAGACGAGAAAAUCCUGACAUGUCCCUAAAAUGUCUCAGAGCGCCUCACGGUGGGUAAUUACCCUCAUUUUCCAUAUUCAUUCCUGUAUUAACUCACCUUAAUGCCAAAAUAUUACAGCCCUAAUCUCGUGCAAAUACGAACCUGUCAUGGCAGCCUUGCGUGGGGGGCAGAAACACGGCUGCCAUGUUGAUUCCAGAAGCCGAGGCUGGAAGGCGGCGGUGACGCUCGGCGCCAAACCUCCCGGAGCUUCCUGUCGAGUAACAAAAAGAAGAUCAUGAAACGUUCACCUGAAGCAGAACUUCACCCACGAGGAGCCGACAUCAGCGACCCUAACCCUCAUAUCCACCGGCCUCCACAAACCGAGGAGGUCUCAGUGGACCCUGCCUCCGCCGGAGGACCUGAAGGAGUCCACGGAGGGGAGAGGAGAUGCAUGUUUACCGGCUACAAGAAAGCUGGUUUGGAAACUUCCACUAAACAGAUAAAAGUACUUUAUCUUCAUAUCAUUUGGUGGUUUCUACUCUUAACAUUCCUUACAUGUUAAUACUAAUAUUAAUACUCAGCAACAGUGUUUGUCCAGCAUGCAGCUCCUCCUGCACGAUUAGAAGUAAAGACUCUUAGAUGAGACGGCCGAGUUUUAUAAAUACAAGUUAUGUUUCAUAACGGACCCGAACAUUAAACGUCCAACAUCAGCUCAUUCAAUCUUCACAUACUGGAGAUUAUUCCUUUAUUCUUGGAUUCAUUUAAAUCCGAACCAAUUAAAGUAAAAGGAGGACGUGGGGAGAGUGGGUCAGAUCCACUGCCCUUACCCGCCAAAAUAAAAGCUCAAAGCUGUGUGUGUGUGUGUGUGUGUGUGUACACAAUGAUCACAAGCGCAGAUGUUUAAGCUUUACAGUUUACAUCAAUCUGCAUUUCUUUUGUGGAUUCUGAAGCCGAUGAGCUGUACUGAUAUUACCCCCAAAGGGACGGGCGUGUGGGGGGGGGGGGGGGUCAAACAGCCGUCUGAUUACACGGGGACAGACGACGGCCAAUCGCGGCGCUCCUUUCCAGCGGCGGUUUAAAAAGGCCUCUUAUAGAUUUUCCCGCUGUGUCGUUACUCUUCAAUCACUGAACUACUUCAUCAAGAGCCAUCAGUCAGAAAGCAGAGCGGCUCGUAAUGACACAGGCCGCUUCCAGCCGCUGAUUCCUCCCAGGAGGGGGCCGGGGGGCCGGGGGGGGCUGGCAGCACCUCCAAAGUGCUGCGAAUUGCAUUUCAGCCACAUGUACCAGGUCAAAGGGCAACGUUUCCUUGCUGUGAUAUCUGGGCAAAUAUUCCUCUGCAUCCUUUUGUGCAAUUUGCUUCAAAACGUCCAACGUCACAAACACAUGAACAUUAAGACGCUUUUCAACGCAGGAAAAGGUGGUUCGUGUUUAAAUACGUGACGGAGCAACCUGACAUCCUGUGAAGGAGGAAGUUUAUUCUGAAAAGGCUCGUAACGUAUGAAGGAGCAUCCGUCCAACGCCAACCGCUCGGGGAAGCCGACAGCGCCGCAGCGUGACGGACAGCCAGGUUCUCGAGGGGGAAAUUAAGAAUUCUUCCAACUUCACCUCAAUUUGCUUCUAAUUAUUGAAGUGAUCAAUAAGCUCGCAGCACUCACACAUACAUGGGAGGGAGAGCGGGAGGGAGGGAUGUAAUGGGGUCAGGCCCGUCUCUGGAGAGGUCAUCAGUGUGCGUGUGCGUGUGCGAGCGCUGCUGACUCAGCAGGUCACGUGACGGCUUGGCCCAAUCCCAGAGCAGCCCACAAAUCAAAACGUCCAACGAAAACACAACGCACAGAUUGUUAAUCACUUACCAAAGGAGGCAGAGAACUGCAGGCGUCAGAGGGGAUUCUGGGUAAUUAGGGUGCAGCACAUUUAGAUCAGCAGCGUCGGGCCCCAAACCGGUCCGGAUGUCCCGAUGGAAACUGGAUCAAGUUUGGAUCCAUUUCAUUCUCACACGUUGGCUGUAAACCACACACGCACACACACACACAAAGGGGGCGGGUCGGGUCGGGGCGGCGAGGAGGCCUCAGGCCGCCCUGCAGGUGAUGCGGCGUCACAUCCAGCCACAGAAACAUGCACGGGAUUAGAUAGGCCACUUAUUCCCGGUUCAGAAGACGAGCAGGACGGAUGACACUUCAGAGGGAGAGAGAGCGCAUCUCCUUGGGGGGACGGGGGGCUUCUUCUAACUUAUUCUGAUGGCGUAUCUUCUGCCCAUCAGUCACGCACAGCUGGUAAUCCUCCACAGAGGAGAAGAACCGGGAGAGAUGGAGGGAGGGGAGUCAGGAAGAUGUGACGACGAGUAUUUACAUUUAGGGCGGAAGUUGUAGCAUGAGGGAUGAAUCCUCGAUGGGAGACGACAUCAUCAGGUUAGUCUGACAGCGAGGAGGGGGGUCGAAGAGGAACCUACCUGCUGCUCUCAGGCUGCGUGAAGCUCAGCAGGUGAUCUGGUCCCAUUAGAGAGCCGGCUUCCCACCUUCCUCACACGCUCCCAGAUGAGACGACGCAGGCUGCUCCCACAUCAGAGCCCGUCAGGAGACCAGGACGAGGGGGUGAAGAUCAGAGGAGGAGGAGGUUCCAAUCAGGAGACCAGGACGAGGGGGUGAAGAUCAGAGGAGGAGGUGCCUAUCAGGAGACCAGGACGAGAGGGUGAAGAUCAGAGGAGGAGGAGGUGCCCAUCAGGAGACGAGGACGAGGGGGUGAAGAUCAGAGGAGGAGGAGGUGCCCAUCAGGAGACCAGGACGAGGGGGCUGAAGAUCAGAGGAGGUGCCCAUCAGGAGACGAGGACGAGGGGGUGAAGAUCAGAGGAGGAGGAGGUGCCCAUCAGGAGACCAGGACGAGGGGGCUGAAGAUCAGAGGAGGAGGAGGUGCCCAUCAGGAGACCAGGACGAGGGGGCUGAAGAUCAGAGGAGGUGCCCAUCAGGAGACCAGGACGAGGGGGUGAAGAUCAGAGGAGGAGGAGGUGCCCAUCAGGAGAGGACGACAAGGAGGACAUGGAGAUUAGAGGAGGAGGAGGAGAGCAGGUCAGGUGCAGGGAUUCAAAGCUCACAGCGCAAGCUGCUAAUUGUGUGACUUCACUUCCACACCACCUCCCCCCGACCUCCCCCCAGCCUCCCCCCAUAAGCCAAUGGGCCCUUUACAUUACAGCAUCAUCCAACAAGUUAAAGACACGUUCAGGGAAGAGACAAUCAGAUAUGAAAGACGGUUGAUUUCAGAUCCAAAAGACAAAACAAAACUGUGCAGACGAGAACAUUUAAAAACAGUAAAAGUAACAAACACAAACUGAUAUAAAGUCCACUUUGACUUCUUCCUCUGGUGAGGGACCUCGUGUCCACUAAUGGAUCAACAACCAUCUACAGCCGUGCUCACAAAUACCUACAAUAAAAGCUAAAUGAACUCAAGUGUUAUUACCCCCCCCAGCACCCCCCCUUUAUCAUUCUGGUGACGCCGGAGGGCAAUUAAAGCCCCCCCGUCCCCUCCGUGACAGCGGGACAAAUGGAUUUCAGCGCAGUUCAUGAAUUCAAAGAUGAUGAAAUUGCCAAUAAUUGCUUGUGCGUGAGUCAAUGCAGAAAUAUUCUUCUUCAUCAGCGGCUCCGACACGAUGCUCCUCUCCCUCCCUCCCUCCCUUCCUCCUUCCUUACUUCCUCCCUCCCUUCCUCCCUUCCUCCCUACCUCCCUUCCUUCCUUCGCCCUCUCGCAUGGAAACCGCUGCAGAUUGUUUCCUAACGAGCUGCACGCGGAGUGAGACAAGACAUCUGCGUCCGUCUGCGUCCGUCUGACCCUACAACCGGUUACCGCGGCAACCGCGAUAAGCCCCGCUUCCUCCUGACCACCGAGCCACUUACGGACACCUCCAUCAUUAUCCCAAGGUGCUUUUCAAUGAGGAGGGUGUCUGUCUGUCUCCCCUUCUUCUUUAGCACUUUGGAGAGUGUGUGUGUGUGUGUGUGUGUGUGUGUGUGUGUGUGUGUGUGUGUGUGUGUGUGUGUGUGCGCCCAUACAAGUCAAUGAGGUCGUCACUAAAGCUCUGAAUAUCAAAUAGUGCUACAAACGCUCAUCCGGAUGAUGUCACGGGUUUCUAAAGCCACAAUGUGGCUUCUUUCUUAUUUGCAGUCAUCCGAUGGUGCGAACGUGUCGUGUGACCUCGUCUGAUUAAAGCCACCGUCUCUUUGGUUCAGGUGCUUUGAAUGCAGCUUUUGUGGUGAAAUAAAUGUGUUUUUGUGCAUGAUUUGUGAACAUAGAAUCAACCAGAAGCAUCUUCCGUAGAAACAAUAUGUGUUUCACUCAUUCAUUCCCUAAAACAUUACUACGUCUUCUCGGUUGUAAUGUCAAUGUUCAUAAAGCAAAGUCAGCAGUGAUUUUAUUGUGACAUCAUUUUAAUUAUUACAUUACAUUAUUUAACUGACGCUUUUAUCCAAAGCGACUUGCGUUACACUUUAAACUCACGGCUCUUACAUUUUGCCCGGGGAGCAGUUAUGGGUUUGGUGUCUUGCUCAGGGACAUCUGUCUUCAACAUGGGACAUGGAGCAGCCAGGACUCGAACUACCAACCUUGCGGUCCCCGCACACCCUCUCUGCACCUGCGCCACGACGGUUCUUUUGAUAUUUGACAUUUUGACAUUUAAGAUAUACAAAGUGCAGAUUUGCUUUAUAAAAUCAAACGCAAAAGACAGUUUGUUGUCUUUGCAUGAACAGAUGUUCAGAUCAUGAAGCCAGCAGAGUGUUUAUGUAAUAUUUCAAAUGUUAAAACAAUAAAUCGACCCUUAAAUCUUGACAUGAAUUUCUUCUGCGUUGAUUCGGAUCAUCAGACUUCAACUCGAGUCAAUCAUUCAUCGUUUUUUUUUUACCGAUUUAAAGUGUUUCAUUAAUAUUUUAUUGCCAUCAUAAAGAGGCCCACUUUAAUCUGAUUUUAUUUGUAUUCAUAACCUUCAUUACCGUGUUUUUCCUCCCCUGUUUGCUCUGUAAUCUGUGCUCCUCCUCACUGCCGCUGUUAACAAACUAAUUCUCCUUCUGGGCUCAAUAAAAAACUGGAAAGAAAAACCGAUUCAGAUUCCAGAGGCGUCUGAGAGUAGAAAACAACAAAGGAUUAACAUGGCAAACUUCUUCAAAUAUGCUUUGUCCGAUCAGGAAACAGAUCAUGUCCCAGAGUCAGAGGAGAAGCAGAAACAUCUAAAUGUCAUUUGUUUUAUUUGUGAUUCACUGUUUCCCUCUUGAUUCGUUAAUCGACAUCUGACGUGUGAAUGAGCUUCGGUAGAAGCAGCUUCUGAGCCUGAGAGCACCAUCACUCGCCUUCUACGUCACUCAUCUUCAGACGGCCGGGGGGGGGCGGCUCCAUUGGACUGGUCACAUGGAGACACACAAUCACACACCUUUAACCUUUAACCUUUAACCCUCCACCCCAAGAACUAGAGACUAUUUCCCACAGCGCCGAUGCAGCGUGGAGAGAUCUGUCAGCGCGACCCCACGUGAUACGGGACGCACUGCUCAUAUAAGAAUGAUGUAGCUUUACAGCUACGGGGGAACAAAGGGAUGAACCGGUCCUGAAGGGGGGGGGGUCCAUCAGACAAAAUGUCUGUCGCUGUGGAACUGUAAUUGGCCCUCGCAGCAGAGAGCGCGUCCUGCCUGACCCCCAGCGCGCUCUGCUUUCCUGUUUCUUUUAAUGGAGUCUGUCUCCCUUCAUGUGCCCCCCCCCCCUCCUCCUCCCUGACAGCGGCCUGUCUGCGGAUCGCUGGCAGGAAGUGGUGUCAGGAAGCGGUUAGUUUAGCGAGGUGGAGGGAAGGUAGCUGGUGGCGUCCAGGCGGCUGUCAUGAGGCCGAACCCCCCCCCUUCCCCCCACCCGCCCCGGACCCCCUCCUCAGCUCUGGACAUGACAGGGAGGCCGGCGGAGUGUCAGCGGGACGCCCCCCCCCUGUCAUGUCUGUCACGCCCGGCGGUACAGGAAGUCAUGUUACGGAACAGUCGGCCUUUCUAAAAAAGUUUCUUUCACAACCUGCAAGUGAAGGACGUCCCCUCGAUGUCCUCAGACCAGCCCCCCGGCCCCCCGGCCCCCGCAGGCC
ensembl:lncRNA